CGAUGCAUAGCCGACCUGAGAGGGUGAUCGGCCACAUUGGGACUGAGACACGGCCCAAACUCCUACGGGAGGCAGCAGUAGGGAAUCUUCCACAAUGGACGAAAGUCUGAUGGAGCAACGCCGCGUGAGUGAUGAAGGUUUUCGGAUCGUAAAACUCUGUUGUAAGGGAAGAACAAGUACGUUAGGAAAUGAACGUACCUUGACGGUACCUUAUUAGAAAGCCACGGCUAACUACGUGCCAGCAGCCGCGGUAAUACGUAGGUGGCAAGCGUUGUCCGGAUUUAUUGGGCGUAAAGCGCGCGCAGGUGGUUUCUUAAGUCUGAUGUGAAAGCCCACGGCUCAACCGUGGAGGGUCAUUGGAAACUGGGGAACUUGAGUGCAGAAGAGGAUAGUGGAAUUCCAAGUGUAGCGGUGAAAUGCGUAGAGAUUUGGAGGAACACCAGUGGCGAAGGCGACUGUCUGGUCUGUAACUGACACUGAGGCGCGAAAGCGUGGGGAGCAAACAGGAUUAGAUACCCUGGUAGUCCACGCCGUAAACGAUGAGUGCUAAGUGUUAGGGGGUUUCCGCCCCUUAGUGCUGCAGCUAACGCAUUAAGCACUCCGCCUGGGGAGUACGACCGCAAGGUUGAAACUCAAAGGAAUUGACGGGGGCCCGCACAAGCGGUGGAGCAUGUGGUUUAAUUCGAAGCAACGCGAAGAACCUUACCAGGUCUUGACAUCCCAGUGACCGCUCUAGAGAUAGAGUUUUCCCUUCGGGGACAUUGGUGACAGGUGGUGCAUGGUUGUCGUCAGCUCGUGUCGUGAGAUGUUGGGUUAAGUCCCGCAACGAGCGCAACCCUUAAUCUUAGUUGCCAUCAUUUAGUUGGGCACUCUAAGGUGACUGCCGGUGACAAACCGGAGGAAGGUGGGGAUGACGUCAAAUCAUCAUGCCCCUUAUGACCUGGGCUACACACGUGCUACAAUGGACGGUACAAAGAGUCGCUAACUCGCGAGAGUACGCUAAUCUCAUAAAACCGUUCUCAGUUCGGAUUGUAGGCUGCAACUCGCCUACAUGA
rnacentral:rRNA from 1 species